GAUGAACGCUGGCGGCGUGCCUAAUACAUGCAAGUCGAGCGAACAGACGAGGAGCUUGCUCCUCUGACGUUAGCGGCGGACGGGUGAGUAACACGUGGAUAACCUACCUAUAAGACUGGGAUAACUUCGGGAAACCUGAUCUAAUACCGGAUAAUAUAUUGAACCUCAUGGUUCAAUAGUGAAAGACGGUUUUGCUGUCACUUAUAGAUGGAUCCGCGCCGCAUUAGCUAGUUGGUAAGGUAACGGCUUACCAAGGCAACGAUGCGUAGCCGACCUGAGAGGGUGAUCGGCCACACUGGAACUGAGACACGGUCCAGACUCCUACGGGAGGCAGCAGUAGGGAAUAUUCCGCAAUGGGCGAAAGCCUGACGGAGCAACGCCGCGUGAGUGAUGAAGGUCUUCGGAUCGUAAAACUCUGUUAUUAGGGAAGAACAAAUGUGUAAGUAACUAUGCACGUCUUGACGGUACCUAAUCAGAAAGCCACGGCUAACUACGUG
rnacentral:rRNA from 1 species